rnacentral:rRNA from 1 species
UACGAAGGGGGCUAGCGUUGCUCGGAAUCACUGGGCGUAAAGCGCACGCAGGCGGAUUGAUAAGUCAGGGGUGAAAUCCCGGGGCUCAACCUCGGAAUUGCCUUUGAUACUGUCUGUCUUGAGUUCGGGUGAGGUUGGCGGAAUUCCUAGUGUAGAGGUGAAAUUCGUAGAUAUUAGGAAGAACACCAGUGGCGAAGGCGGCCAACUGGCCCGAUACUGACGCUCAUGUGCGAAAGCGUGGGGAGCAAACAGG